rnacentral:rRNA from 1 species
CCUACGGGAGGCAGCAGUGAGGAAUAUUGGUCAAUGGGCGUAAGCCUGAACCAGCCAAGUCGCGUGAGGGAUGAAGGUUCUAUGGAUCGUAAACCUCUUUUAUAAGGGAAUAAAGUGCGGGACGUAUCCCGUUUUGUCUGUACCUUAUGAAUAAGGAUCGGCUAACUCCGUGCCAGCAGCCGCGGUAAUACGGAGGAUCCGAGCGUUAUCCGGAUUUAUUGGGUUUAAAGGGUGCGUAGGCGGCCUUUUAAGUCAGCGGUGAAAGUCUGUGGCUCAACCAUAGUAUUGCCGUUGAAACUGGGAGGCUUGAGGAUGUCUGAGGCAGGCGGAAUGCGUGGUGUAGCGGUGAAAUGCUUAGAUAUCACGCAGAACCCCGAUUGCGAAGGCAGCCUGCCAAGCCAUGACUGACGCUGAUGCACGAAAGCGUGGGUAUCAAACAGGAUUAGAUACCCUGGUAGUC